rnacentral:rRNA from 1 species
UCUUCGGAGGCACCUGCACAGGUGCUGCAUGGCUGUCGUCAGCUCGUGUCGUGAGAUGUUGGGUUAAGUCCCGCAACGAGCGCAACCCUCGUCCUAUGUUGCCAGCGGGUCAUGCCGGGGACUCAUGGGAGACUGCCGGGGUCAACUCGGAGGAAGUGGGGGUGACGUCAAAUCAUCAUGCCCCUUAUGUCUUGGGCUUCACGCAUGCUACAAUGGCCGGUACAAAGGGCUGCGAUACCGCGAGGUGGAGCGAAUCCCAGAAAGCCGGUCUCAGUUCGGAUUGGGGUCUGCAACUCGACCCCAUGAAGUCGGAGUCGCUAGUAAUCGCAGAUCAGCAACGCUCGCGGUCCGAAUACGUUCCGGGCCUU